GGGCCCGAGGCCCGCGGCCGCCUCCCGCCCCAACGCGCGAGGCCCGGGCUGCGCGCAGGGAAACCUGUUGAACUGGUCUGGCUCGGGGGGCGGGGGGCCGACCGGCCGCGCAGGUGAAGCGGCUGCCCGACUAGGCUCCGUCGGUUUAGUCAGCCCCUGGCAAGAUGGGCUUCUUCCCUAGCCGGGUGUCACCAGGGGCUUGGAAGGAAAACGAGCCGCCGGGCCGCAGCUACAGGAAAUGGUGGGGAUGGAGCGAGGCGCUCGCGCACAGAUGCGCCGCGUGGGCUGGCCUGGGCCCCGGCCUGAAUUAUUCAAACAGGAUAUUGCCUCACUGGGGACUGCUCCCGUCGGGGCUUCAACAACAAUAGCCUCUGGGAACAUAAUUUCUUCUUUCUAAUAUCAAGGAAGAGUUCUAGCUGUUACUUUUUCCAGUUACUGCACCAGGUCCAGUAGAAAAUGCCUAAUCCAUCAUCUUCCAGGAGGAUCCUGGCUCAUGAAUCACUCCCUCUGGAAGAAGCCAGCUGCCACAUUGUAAACAGCCUCCAUCCAAGUGGAGAAGAACUGAAGCCUCCGGCAGACACUAGCGCUAACCCACCAUGUGUCAGCCAAGCUACCAGGGAGACUUCGUAAAAAAGAAGAAGAAGAAGAAGAAGAAGAAGAAGAAGAAGAAGAAGAAGAAGAAGAAGAAGAAACAAGUUUAACUAGAAAGGGAAACCGCUUUCUCUGUCUUCUCUUUCCUUCAUCUACAGCAAUCUCUGUGUGACUGAAGAAAUAACAUCGAGGUGGACCUGGUGUUGUUAAAACUUUCUCCUUUGUUCAGGAGCUGAGUUUUAAAAUAAUUGAGGUGAAGGCGAGUUCCAGAACACCCCACAGCCCUAGGUGAUUGUCAGAUGUUCAGUUUGUCACUGUGGAAGCCCUGGAGAAGUAUCUUGGUUGCUGCUGGCAGAGGUUAUCAGGCCCACGGGUUUCUUCAAAAUAUAGGGCAUGUGAAGAGUCGCUUGGCCUGGGGGCCGGGAGAUCCUCCACCGCCUUGGAAGUUGAGAUCAGCCAGGCGCCAGGGGCGACCCAGGACAGAAGAUGAUUAUCUGCAGAUGAGAGGGAGGAAAUUCUUCUUUCCCCAGUUUUCUCUGCUAACAACACUGUGGCAAAGAAAGCAGUGAUUGGGUCAAGUGUCUGCCUUCAUAGAUGGGAAAGACUUCACUCAAUGCACGAGUCUGAUGUGCAUACGUCAAGAGCACAUUUGAUUGUCAACCAUUUCUGCUUCCAACAACGUCCUCCAUCCUGAUAAGCAAAACUUGAAAAAAGAAUGCACUGUCCUGAGUAUGGAGUAUAACUUGAUUAAUGGCAAGCUCAUCAGAGGAAACAGGAAACUACUCACUCGUCUGCACCAUAGGAUUUGUAUCCUUCAAAGUAACUUAAUUCUGA